rnacentral:rRNA from 1 species
UAUGGAGAGUUUGAUCCUGGCUCAGGAUGAACGCUGGCGGCGUGCCUAAUACAUGCAAGUCGAGCGAACGGACGAGAAGCUUGCUUCUCUGAUGUUAGUGGCGGACGGGUGAGUAACACGUGGAUAACCUACCUAUAAGACUGGGAUAACUUCGGGAAACCGGAGCUAAUACCGGAUAAUAUUUUGAACCGCAUGGUUCAAAAGUGAAAGACGGUCUUGCUGUCACUUAUAGAUGGAUCCGCGCUGCAUUAGCUAGUUGGUAAGGUAACGGCUUACCAAGGCAACGAUGCAUAGCCGACCUGAGAGGGUGAUCGGCCACACUGGAACUGAGACACGGUCCAGACUCCUACGGGAGGCAGCAGUAGGGAAUCUUCCGCAAUGGGCGAAAGCCUGACGGAGCAACGCCGCGUGAGUGAUGAAGGUCUUCGGAUCGUAAAACUCUGUUAUUAGGGAAGAACAUAUGUGUAAGUAACUGUGCACAUCUUGACGGUACCUAAUCAGAAAGCCACGGCUAACUACGUGCCAGCAGCCGCGGUAAUACGUAGGUGGCAAGCGUUAUCCGGAAUUAUUGGGCGUAAAGCGCGCGUAGGCGGUUUUUUAAGUCUGAUGUGAAAGCCCACGGCUCAACCGUGGAGGGUCAUUGGAAACUGGAAAACUUGAGUGCAGAAGAGGAAAGUGGAAUUCCAUGUGUAGCGGUGAAAUGCGCAGAGAUAUGGAGGAACACCAGUGGCGAAGGCGACUUUCUGGUCUGUAACUGACGCUGAUGUGCGAAAGCGUGGGGAUCAAACAGGAUUAGAUACCCUGGUAGUCCACGCCGUAAACGAUGAGUGCUAAGUGUUAGGGGGUUUCCGCCCCUUAGUGCUGCAGCUAACGCAUUAAGCACUCCGCCUGGGGAGUACGACCGCAAGGUUGAAACUCAAAGGAAUUGACGGGGACCCGCACAAGCGGUGGAGCAUGUGGUUUAAUUCGAAGCAACGCGAAGAACCUUACCAAAUCUUGACAUCCUUUGACAACUCUAGAGAUAGAGCCUUCCCCUUCGGGGGACAAAGUGACAGGUGGUGCAUGGUUGUCGUCAGCUCGUGUCGUGAGAUGUUGGGUUAAGUCCCGCAACGAGCGCAACCCUUAAGCUUAGUUGCCAUCAUUAAGUUGGGCACUCUAAGUUGACUGCCGGUGACAAACCGGAGGAAGGUGGGGAUGACGUCAAAUCAUCAUGCCCCUUAUGAUUUGGGCUACACACGUGCUACAAUGGACAAUACAAAGGGCAGCGAAACCGCGAGGUCAAGCAAAUCCCAUAAAGUUGUUCUCAGUUCGGAUUGUAGUCUGCAACUCGACUACAUGAAGCUGGAAUCGCUAGUAAUCGUAGAUCAGCAUGCUACGGUGAAUACGUUCCCGGGUCUUGUACACACCGCCCGUCACACCACGAGAGUUUGUAACACCCGAAGCCGGUGGAGUAACCUUUUAGGAGCUAGCCGUCGAAGGUGGGACAAAUGAUUGGGGUGAAGUCGUAACAAGGUAGCCGUAUCGGAAGGUGCGGCUGGAUCACCUCCUU